rnacentral:rRNA from 1 species
UACGUGAGGGGCGAACGUUGUUCGGUGUCACUGGGCUUAAAGGGUGCGUAGGUGGUUGCGUAAGUAAGGUGUGAAAUCCCUCGGCUUACCCGGGGAAUUGCAUUUUAUACUGCGUGGCUUGAGGACUAAAGGGGAAAAGGGAACUCCAGGUGUAGCGGUGAAAUGCGCAGAUAUCAGGAGGAACACCGGUGGCGAAGGCGGGUCUCUGGGCAUUACCUGACGCUGAGGAGCGAAAGUGUGGGGAGCGAACAGG